CCCUGAUAGCACAUACAUGCAGUCGACGGUAGAGGGGGCAACCCCUUGAGAGUGGCGAACGGGUGAGUAAUGUAUCGGAACGUGCCCAGUCGUGGGGGAUAACGUAGUGAAAAUUACGCUAAUACCGCAUACGAUCUAUGGAUGAAAGCGGGGGAUCGCAAGACCUCGCGCGAUUGGAGCGGCCGAUAUCAGAUUAGGUAGUUGGUGGGGUAAAGGCUCACCAAGCCAACGAUCUGUAGCUGGUCUGAGAGGACGACCAGCCACACUGGAACUGAGACACGGUCCAGACUCCUACGGGAGGCAGCAGUGGGGAAUUUUGGACAAUGGACGCAAGUCUGAUCCAGCCAUUCCGCGUGCAGGACGAAGGCCUUCGGGUUGUAAACUGCUUUUGUACGGAACGAAAAAGCUCUUAUUAAUAUUAGGAGUCCAUGACGGUACCGUAAGAAUAAGCACCGGCUAACUACGUGCCAGCAGCCGCGGUAAUACGUAGGGUGCAAGCGUUAAUCGGAAUUACUGGGCGUAAAGCGUGCGCAGGCGGUUAUAUAAGACAGAUGUGAAAUCCCCGAGCUUAACUUGGGAACUGCAUUUGUGACUGUAUAGCUAGAGUACGGCAGAGGGGGAUGGAAUUCCGCGUGUAGCAGUGAAAUGCGUAGAUAUGCGGAGGAACACCGAUGGCGAAGGCAAUCCCCUGGGCCUGUACUGACGCUCAUGCACGAAAGCGUGGGGAGCAAACAGGAUUAGAUACCCUGGUAGUCCACGCCCUAAACGAUGUCAACUGGUUGUUGGGUCUUCACUGACUCAGUAACGAAGCUAACGCGUGAAGUUGACCGCCUGGGGAGUACGGCCCGCAG
rnacentral:rRNA from 1 species